rnacentral:rRNA from 1 species
AGUGAACGCUGGCGGUAGGCCUAACACAUGCAAGUCGAACGGCAGCACAGUAAGAGCUUGCUCUUACGGGUGGCGAGUGGCGGACGGGUGAGGAAUACAUCGGAAUCUACUUUUUCGUGGGGGAUAACGUAGGGAAACUUACGCUAAUACCGCAUACGACCUACGGGUGAAAGCAGGGGAUCUUCGGACCUUGCGCGAUUGAAUGAGCCGAUGUCGGAUUAGCUAGUUGGCGGGGUAAAGGCCCACCAAGGCGACGAUCCGUAGCUGGUCUGAGAGGAUGAUCAGCCACACUGGAACUGAGACACGGUCCAGACUCCUACGGGAGGCAGCGGUGGGGAUAUUGGACAAUGGGCGCAAGCCUGAUCCAGCCAUACCGCGUGGGUGAAGAAGGCCUUCGGGUUGUAAAGCCCUUUUGUUGGGAAAGAAAAGCAGCAGGUUAAUACCCCGCUGUUCUGACGGUACCCAAAGAAUAAGCACCGGCUAACUUCGUG